rnacentral:lncRNA from 1 species
UGUUUACCAUUUGAGAAUAUUACUAGUUUCUAACAAUCUUUAAACUAUUUUUAAAAAAAAAUCAAUAACACAAAUUCUGUUUUCACUGAAAAGUUUGAGGAGGUGGAUGCUGAACAGCUUCAGAGAAGUCUGGAUGAAAAUCUCCUCCAAGGAUAUGCAAAGAAAACACAAGGCUUCAGCUUGGAGUCCUGUCGAAGCAUGGUGGCCCUAAUGGAUACAUCAAUCACUGGAAGACUGAACAGUGAUGAAUUUCUACGUCUAUGGAGAAAAGUUACCAUGUACAAGGUAAAUUAAUUAGCAUGUCUGUUGAAAAAAAGGGAAAACAACUAUA